rnacentral:rRNA from 1 species
UAUUGAAAGGUGCUUGCAUCUUGAUUUAAUUUUGAACGAGUGGCGGACGGGUGAGUAACACGUGGGUAACCUGCCCUUAAGUGGGGGAUAACAUUUGGAAACAGAUGCUAAUACCGCAUAAAUCCAAGAACCGCAUGGUUCUUGGCUGAAAGAUGGCGUAAGCUAUCGCUUUUGGAUGGACCCGCGGCGUAUUAGCUAGUUGGUGAGGUAACGGCUCACCAAGGCAAUGAUACGUAGCCGAACUGAGAGGUUGAUCGGCCACAUUGGGACUGAGACACGGCCCAAACUCCUACGGGAGGCAGCAGUAGGGAAUCUUCCACAAUGGACGCAAGUCUGAUGGAGCAACGCCGCGUGAGUGAAGAAGGCUUUCGGGUCGUAAAACUCUGUUGUUGGAGAAGAAUGGUCGGCAGAGUAACUGUUGUCGGCGUGACGGUAUCCAACCAGAAAGCCACGGCUAACUACGUGCCAGCAGCCGCGGUAAUACGUAGGUGGCAAGCGUUAUCCGGAUUUAUUGGGCGUAAAGCGAGCGCAGGCGGUUUUUUAAGUCUGAUGUGAAAGCCCUCGGCUUAACCGAGGAAGUGCAUCGGAAACUGGGAAACUUGAGUGCAGAAGAGGACAGUGGAACUCCAUGUGUAGCGGUGAAAUGCGUAGAUAUAUGGAAGAACACCAGUGGCGAAGGCGGCUGUCUGGUCUGUAACUGACGCUGAGGCUCGAAAGCAUGGGUAGCGAACAGGAUUAGAUACCCUGGUAGUCCAUGCCGUAAACGAUGAAUGCUAGGUGUUGGAGGGUUUCCGCCCUUCA